AAGACCUUUCCCUUAAGGAAAAGAAGAAGAAAAAAAGAAAAAAAAGGGGGAAAAAGAAAACAGGGUAAAGAGAAAAAGAUCAUGCAUAAACCUAAGCGUUUCACUGGAAGUAAAACGCGAGUUUAUCGCUUCCUUACAGAGGUGGAACCAAGGACAGCAAAUGCUGACGAGGAGAAGAGACGGACGAGCGUUUGCUUGCGGUUAAUACCGAAGGGACGGGAUGAAACAAGGAAGCCAGAAUGCAGCGGCCCCUCGAUAUCACCAGGAACUGCUACAGGAGGAGGCGUUCUGACACGGGUAACUAGGAUUAAUUGCCACGGCUGAAGUUGAAGAGACCAAGAAACGUAAGCCGCGAAGGGGCACAUCUUGAAGAGAGGGGGCUAGACCUAGCGAUGCAGUUGUUCGUUUUGGUCGUCGCCUGUGAGGCCAGCAUGCAAGAGUAAGAGGAAGCUAGGAGCAGUCUCAAAAAGAGAUGGAACCAAGGACAGCAAAUGCUGACGAGGAGAAGAGACGGACGAGCGUUUGCUUGCGGUUAAUACCGAAGGGACGGGAUGAAACAAGGAAGCCAGAAUGCAGCGGCCCCUCGAUAUCACCAGGAACUGCUACAGGAGGAGGCGUUCUGGCACGGGUAACUAGGGUAAGUAUGGCUAAUGACCGUUAGCAGUUAUUUCGGCCUCCCCGAGGCAGCGCUGAGGACUGAGUAACCCGUUCCUGCCCUGUGGCUGCUGUUCCCUGUAUCUGCCUUAGCUUUGCUUUGGCUGUUUCUCUUUUGUUUUGUUAUCGUACACGCAGCUACGGAAAGGAAUAGAUGUCAUACUUACUUUUUUAGAUUAAUUGCCACGGCUGAAGUUGAAGAGACCAAGAAACGUAAGCCGCGAAGGGGCACAUCUUGAAGAGAGGGGGCUAGACCUAGCGAUGCAGUUGUUCGUUUUGGUCGUCGCCUGUGAGGCCAGCAUGCAAGAGUAAGAGGAAGCUAGGAGCAGUCUCAAAAAGAGAUGGAACCAAGGACAGCAAAUGCUGACGAGGAGAAGAGACGGACGAGCGUUUGCUUGCGGUUAAUACCGAAGGGACGGGAUGAAACAAGGAAGCCAGAAUGCAGCGGCCCCUCGAUAUCACCAGGAACUGCUACAGGAGGAGGCGUUCUGGCACGGGUAACUAGGGUAAGUAUGGCUAAUGACCGUUAGCAGUUAUUUCGGCCUCCCCGAGGCAGC